rnacentral:rRNA from 1 species
GAGUGAGAGUAUUUUCAUCUCGGGUGAAAUGUGGCGAGUUGCCUUUGGCACUGGCUCGCCGCGUGAGGCAUCUCCGAUGCCGACGCCUGGCUUCGCAGAUCAAUUAAUCAAUACUUAUUCCUCACUGCCCCAAGACUACCCGCUGAACUUAAGCAUAUCAAUAAGCGGAGGAAAAGAAACCAACAGGGAUUACCUCAGUAACGGCGAGUGAAGCGGUAAAAGCUCAAAUUUGAAAUCUUCGGAAUUGUAAUUUGUAGGAUAGUCUAGUCAACACAUUAAGUUCAUUGGAAAAUGACGCCUUAGAGGGUGAUAGCCCCGUAGUGAAGACACUUUCAGUCUAUCCCAAGAGUCGGGUUGUUUGGGAAUGCAGCUCUAAGUGGGUGGUAAAUUCCAUCUAAAGCUAAAUAUUGGCGAGAGACCGAUAGCGAACAAGUACAGUGAUGGAAAGAUGAAAAGCACUUUGAAAAGAGAGUGAAAUAGUACGUGAAAUUGUUGAAAGGGAAGGGCUUGCGGGGGGUGAGAGAGUGAAGACACCAGUGAGGAAAAGGGGAAAGAGAUGUAACUAGAAAUAGUAUUAUACUCUUUUCUGAUACUCUUUGGAGUCUUCAGGACCGCUAAACAGGACUCUCUCUUAACCGCCGCAAGUCGCCCGUCUUGAAACACGGACCAAGGAGUCUAACGAUUGUGCGAGUAUUAGAGCCCCAAACUCAAUGCGAAAUGAAAGUAAAUGGUUUUUUUUUCUAACCGACCCUUUCUUAGGAAAGGAGUAAGCACGGCUGUUGGGACCC